GGGCACGUAGCUCAGGUGGUUAGAGCGCUAUCUUGACACGGUAGAGGUCGCUGGUUCGAGUCCAGCCGCGCCCACCA
rnacentral:tRNA from 1 species